rnacentral:rRNA from 1 species
UGGGGAAUAUUGCACAAUGGGGGAAACCCUGAUGCAGCGACGCCGCGUGAGUGAAGAAGUAUCUCGGUACGUAAAGCUCUAUCAGCAGGGAAGAAAAUGACGGUACCUGACUAAGAAGCCCCGGCUAACUACGUGCCAGCAGCCGCGGUAAUACGUAGGGGGCAAGCGUUAUCCGGAUUUACUGGGUGUAAAGGGAGCGUAGACGGCAGCGCAAGUCUGGAGUGAAAUGCCGGGGCCCAACCCCGGAACUGCUUUGGAAACUGUGCAGCUCGAGUGCAGGAGAGGUAAGCGGAAUUCCUAGUGUAGCGGUGAAAUGCGUAGAUAUUAGGAGGAACACCAGUGGCGAAGGCGGCUUACUGGACUGUAACUGACGUUGAGGCUCGAAAGCGUGGGGGGCAAACAGG